CGCCCCUUCGUUCCGCGUUCGACUGGUUGGGCCUGUCCAGCGGGGCGCUGAGUAGCCGCCUGUCCCACGCCCGCCGGGACCUGCAGCGACCGUGAAGACGCCCGCUCUGGCAUUCGUCAUAGACACCUAGGGCCGGGUCCUGGGCUUUGCAGGGCCCGAGCCUCGGAGGCCCCUCCGCGCGCCAUCCGCGCUCGAUGCGUCAGGGCUGAAGGGCGGCCUCAGGUUCGGGAGCCCGAUGGAGUCGCUCGCGGAGGCUCCCUGGGGGCGGGCUCGUGAACUCCGUGGUUGCCGGUUUUUCGGUUUGCUGCCCGGUUGCCUGGUGGGCCCAUUAAAAGUGGGGGCUCGUGGCGGCGCCCAGGAAAACAAGCGUGAGAAUGAGGCCGCUCAUCUGGCUCCUGUCCAGAAUUGGAUCAGUCUCACCACCUUCACUCCUACAUCUUCUGAAGAUGACGAGACUCUAAUGAAAUGCACGAAGUAACUUUGCAAAUAUAAGGUAUAGUGGAAGUGGAAAAAGAGGAACUCAUCCGAUACGGCAUCUUCUUGUUGAUGCCCAGGAUGUUUUCGUUGUGCGCUGACGGGAGUAGGAGAAUCCUCCUAACACCUACAAGGCCCUGGAAGUUUUAUAAUCUGCCUCCUGGUUGGACAUCAGACUAUGGUGACAGGAUUCUGGCUCCAUCACUUAUAGAUGGUAUAAAACCCUAUGAAGCCAUGUGGAGGAGCCAAAGAAUACUGAUAAUUUAUUGCUUCAAAGCUAUAAUGGAAGAUCAUUUUUAAGUGGUUCAAAUAUACAUUCUAUAUUUUAUAUUCUGAAAGAGUUGCCUGUAGAAAGGGCUUCCAGAAUCUAGUGGAAAGAAAGUUUCCUGGUCCUCAUCCACCUGGUUUCCAAGGAAGCUAUAGUGACCUUGCAAAUCAUCACUCAUACAGAGGAGACUGGGUGCUGAAAUAUCUUUCCAGUCCUGACACGAAGGAAUACGGACGUGUCUGACAUCUUCGCUUCCAGGAACAAAGCCAAAUAUUUUCCUUAAGCGCUGCAUGAUGAGGAGGCGUGAGUGCUGCUCUGCAGCUUGUUCGAAGAGCUCCCUCUCAUUGCGGAGGUGGUUGGUCCAGUAG